rnacentral:lncRNA from 1 species
UUUUUAUGAAUUGUUUUUUUUUUUUUUUUCUAGUUUUGACAUUCAAAUGUAUGGUUGAAGUAGGUUAAAUGAACUUAUAAAUAUAAAUAUACCGACUGUCCCUAUAACAAGUGGCAAAGGACUUGAUGGUUGAUAUCCGAGACCCAAGUUCGAAUCCUAAUUGAUUCACAUUUUCAGCUAAGUUUAUUUCUAAAUGAAAUAAAUGAAACAGAUAGCGUGCUGCCUAUCUCUCUCUCUCUCCAAAAAAAAAAAAAAAAAAAAAAAAAAAAAAAAAAAAAAAAAACCUUAUAAAUAUACUAUCUCAACAUACCGUUGUUAAAAUUAACGAAAAAUUCUAGCA